AGGGUUUGAUUAUGGCUCAGAACGUACGCUGGCGGCACGCUUAACACAUGCAAGUCGAACGCAGUAGCAAUACUGAGUGGCAGACGGGUGAGUAUAAUGUGGGAAUCUGCCUUUUGGUUCGGAAUAACUCGGGGAAACCUGAGCUAAUACCGGAUAAGCCCUUACGGGGAAAGAUUUAUCGCCAAAAGAUGAGCCCGCACUUGAUUAGCUUGUUGGUGAGGUAAAAGCUCACCAAGGCAACAAUCAAUAGCUGUUCUUAGAGGAAGACCAGCCACAUUGGGACUGAGACACGGCCCAGACUCCUACGGGAGGCAGCAGUGGGGAAUCUUGCACAAUGGGGGAAACCCUGAUGCAGCGAUGCCGCGUGAGUGAAGAAGGCCUUUGGGUUGUAAAACUCUUUCGUCGGGGAAGAAAAUGACUGUACCCGAAUAAGAAGGUCCGGCUAACUUCGUGCCAGCAGCCGCGGUAAUAC
rnacentral:rRNA from 1 species